UGGGGGAUAUUGCACAAUGGGCGAAAGCCUGAUGCAGCGACGCCGCGUGGGGGAUGAAGGCCUUCGGGUUGUAAACUUCUUUUGUUCUGAACAAGGCGCACCAUGGGGUGUGUUAAGUGUAGGGGUUGAUUAGCGCCGGCUAACUACGUGCCAGCAGCCGCGGUAAUACGUAGGGCGCGAGCGUUGUCCGGAAUUAUUGGGCGUAAAGGGCUUGUAGGUGGCUGGUUGCGUCUGUCGUGAAAGCUCAUGGCUUAACUGUGGGUUUGCGGUGGGUACGGGCUGGCUUGAGUGCAGUAGGGGAGGCUGGAAUUCCUGGUGUAGCGGUGGAAUGCGCAGAUAUCAGGAGGAAUACCGGUGGCGAAGGCGGGUCUCUGGGCUGUUACUGACACUGAGGAGCGAAAGCAUGGGGAGCGAACAGG
rnacentral:rRNA from 1 species